rnacentral:pre_miRNA from 1 species
AACCCGUAAAUCCGAACUUGUGCUGUUGUUUGUGUUGCAAGACCGGCAUUAUGGGAGUC